ensembl:lncRNA
UGCAAAAGUCUUUUUCUAACAACCCAAUAGGCAAACUGUUUAGCUUACUACAGACGAAACAGUGCAAUGUCGUCAGGUCAGAAGGGUUUUGCAUCAGUCUCUGACCAUACCGAAGCUGGUUGUGACCUAGAGCCAGGCAAUCUUUUGUGAAAUCCCACUGAAUUGCUACUACCGCUGAUGCAGGUUUAUCUGUCUCGAUGUCUGAAUCCACACCUGGGGGGGUUGUAGCAGUGGGUUGCUAAUGCUACUCCAUGCAGGACCUAGAGGCAGCUCAAACUCACAGGUGGCGGAGCUGAAAAACCAGGGGAGUGCUUGACCUGACUGACCCAACAAACUAAACCGCAUCGCACCCACUCAUGCUGCCUUGGGGUCCUGCCUACACAGGCACCACAGGCACCACAGGCAGCACACACCUCUGCCUAGACAGUGAGAGGGUGAGUGGAGAAGCCAUGGAUGGGGCUCGUGUGUCCUCUAGUGCUGCCUGAUGCUGCCGAUCAGAUGGAAAAUGUGGAGGUGAUGCCUGCACGAUCACAGAGCCAAUUAGCUUCAACGCCCACCAAUGAGGACCUCGGGACCAAAUGACAUCUCUGACGGCAUUUGCAGUACGGCCUCAGUUUACGGCCUCUGUAUGGAUGGGGGAGUAAACGAUGUUGCGCUAGUCGUCUGGUAGUAAGGGACAGGUUAAAGGGACUGAAAUGUUUUAUUACAUGGUGAAAUCUGGGUCCAAA